rnacentral:rRNA from 1 species
UACGUGGAAGACUAGUGUUAUUCAUCUUUAAUAGGUUUAAAGGGUACCUAGACGGUAUUUCUAGCCCCCAAAGGGUACGGAUUUACUAGAGUUUUAUGUGAGAGGCAAAUAUUAGUACUAUUGGUGUAGAGAUGAAAUUCUUUGAUACUACUAGGACUGGUGGCGGCGAAAGCAACCCUCUAAGUAUAAACUGACGUUGAGGGACGAAGGCUUGGGUAGCGAAUAGG